AGGGGGACCUUCGGGCCUCUUGCCAUCAGAUGUGCCCAGAUGGGAUUAGCUUGUUGGUGAGGUAACGGCUCACCAAGGCGACGAUCCCUAGCUGGUCUGAGAGGAUGACCAGCCACACUGGAACUGAGACACGGUCCAGACUCCUACGGGAGGCAGCAGUGGGGAAUAUUGCACAAUGGGCGCAAGCCUGAUGCAGCCAUGCCGCGUGUAUGAAGAAGGCCUUCGGGUUGUAAAGUACUUUCAGCGGGGAGGAAGGUGUUGUGGUUAAUAACCGCAGCAAUUGACGUUACCCGCAGAAGAAGCACCGGCUAACUCCGUGCCAGCAGCCGCGGUAAUACGGAGGGUGCAAGCGUUAAUCGGAAUUACUGGGCGUAAAGCGCACGCAGGCGGUCUGUCAAGUCGGAUGUGAAAUCCCCGGGCUCAACCUGGGAACUGCAUUCGAAACUGGCAGGCUUGAGUCUUGUAGAGGGGGGUAGAAUUCCAGGUGUAGCGGUGAAAUGCGUAGAGAUCUGGAGGAAUACCGGUGGCGAAGGCGGCCCCCUGGACAAAGACUGACGCUCAGGUGCGAAAGCGUGGGGAGCAAACAGGAUUAGAUACCCUGGUAGUCCACGCCGUAAACGAUGUCUACUUGGAGGUUGUGCCCUUGAGGCGUGGCUUCCGGAGCUAACGCGUUAAGUAGACCGCCUGGGGAGUACGGCCGCAAGGUUAAAACUCAAAUGAAUUGACGGGGGCCCGCACAAGCGGUGGAGCAUGUGGUUUAAUUCGAUGCAACGCGAAGAACCUUACCUGGUCUUGACAUCCACAGAACUUUCCAGAGAUGGAUUGGUGCCUUCGGGAACUGUGAGACAGGUGCUGCAUGGCUGUCGUCAGCUCGUGUUGUGAAAUGUUGGGUUAAGUCCCGCAACGAGCGCAACCCUUAUCCUUUGUUGCCAGCGGUCCGGCCGGGAACUCAAAGGAGACUGCCAGUGAUAAACUGGAGGAAGGUGGGGAUGACGUCAAGUCAUCAUGGCCCUUACGACCAGGGCUACACACGUGCUACAAUGGCGCAUACAAAGAGAAGCGACCUCGCGAGAGCAAGCGGACCUCAUAAAGUGCGUCGUAGUCCGGAUUGGAGUCUGCAACUCGACUCCAUGAAGUCGGAAUCGCUAGUAAUCGUGGAUCAGAAUGCCACGGUGAAUACGUUCCCGGGCCUUGUACACACCGCCCGUCACACCAUGGGAGUGGGUUGCAAAAGAAGUAGGUAGCUUAACCUUCGGGAGGGCGCUUACCACUUUGUGAUUCAUGACUGGGGUGAAGUCGUAACAAGGUAACCGUAGGGGAACCUGCGGUUGGAUCACCUCCUUACCUUAAAGAA
rnacentral:rRNA from 2 species